rnacentral:misc_RNA from 1 species
GGACUACCAGGGUAUCUAAUCCUGUUUGCUCCCCACGCUUUCGAACAUGAGUGUCAGUUAGAGUCCAGGAAGCCGCCUUCGCCACCGGUGUUCCUCCGAAUAUCUACGAAUUUCACCUCUACACUCGGAAUUCCGCUUCCCCCUACUCUACUCAAGAAAGGCAGUAUCAAAGGCAAUGCCACAGUUAAGCUGUGGUCUUUCACCCCUGACUUACCAAACCACCUGCGUUCGCUUUACGCCCAAUAAAUCCGAACAACGCUCGCCACCUCUGUCUUACCGCGGCGGCUGACAC